rnacentral:misc_RNA from 1 species
GGAGUAAAAGUCGUAACAAGGUUUCCGUAGGUGAACCUGCGGAAGGAUCAUUAUCGUACAAAAUGUGAGGGGCAUGCGAGGGCUGUCGCUGACCCAAAAGUCGUGCACGCCCGAGUGUGUCCUCUUGCAUAAUAAUCCAUCUCACCCUUUGUGCAUCACCGCGUGGGCACCCUUCGGGAUCAUCUCGGAGGGGGGCUCGCGUUUUCACGCAAACCCCCCUUUUAAAAGUGUAGAAUGACCACAUUUAUGCAAUCAAUACAACUUUCAACAACGGAUCUCUUGGCUCUC